rnacentral:rRNA from 1 species
AACCCCAAUGUGAACGUUACCAAUCUGUUGCCUCGGCGGGAUCUCUUAGCCCCGGGCGCGUCGCAGCCCCGGAUCCCAUGGCGCCCGCCGGAGGACCAACUCAAACUCUUUUUUCUCUCCGUCGCGGCUUCCGUCGCGGCUCUGUUUUAUUUUUGCUCUGAGCCUUUCUCGGCGACCCUAGCGGGCGUCUCGAAAAUGAAUCAAAACUUUCAACAACGGAUCUCUUGGUUCUGGCAUCGAUGAAGAACGCAGCGAAAUGCGAUAAGUAAUGUGAAUUGCAGAAUUCAGUGAAUCAUCGAAUCUUUGAACGCACAUUGCGCCCGCCAGUAUUCUGGCGGGCAUGCCUGUCCGAGCGUCAUUUCAACCCUCGAACCCCUCCGGGGGGUCGGCGUUUGGGGAUCGGCCCCUCACCGGGCCGCCCCCGAAAUCCAGUGGCGGUCUCGCCGCAGCCUCUCCUGCGCAGUAGUUUGCACACUCGCACCGGGAGCGCGGCGCGGCCACAGCCGUAAAACACCCCAAACUCUGAAAUGUUGACCUCGGAUCAGGUAGGAAUACCCGCUGAACUUAAGCAUAUCAAUAAAGCGGAGAAAAAUUCCCG